rfam:Capsicum annuum cultivar Zunla-1 chromosome 6, whole genome shotgun sequence
CCCGAGGAGUUUAAGCAUAUCAAUAAGUGGAGAAAAAAAACUUACAAGGAUUCCCUAAGUAAUAGCGAGCGAAUCAGGAAUAACCCAGCCAUAGAAUCAGGCAGCUCUGUCAACCGAAUUGUAGUCUGAAGAAGCAUCUUCAAUGGCUGACCGGGCCCAAGUCCCUUGGAAGGGGGAGCCAGAGAGGGUGAGAGCCCCAUUGUACUUAGACCCUAUCACACCAUGAGGUGCUAUCUACGAGUUGGAUUGUUUGGGAAUGCAGCCCAAAUCAGGCGGUAAAUUCUGUCCAAGACUAAAUACGGGUGAGAGAUCGAUAGUAAACAAGUACUGAGAGUGAAACAUGAAAAGGACUUUGAAAAAAGAGUCAAAUAGUGCUUAAAAUUGUUGGGAGGGAAGCGGAUGGGGGCCAGUAAUGCAUCCUAGUCAGAUGUAAAAUGGUGAUGAGCUGAUCCACCGAUCGACUCGGGGCAUGGACCAGCGUGGAUUGGGGGAGGCUAAAGCUUGGGCUUUCAAUACGUUUAUGGAAUGCUGUCUACUUGAUUGUGGUAGGUAGUGCAUGCCUUUGGUAUGCUUCGAUAUCUACGCACUCCAGAUGCUAGCUUGUGGGCUUCUCAUUUGACCCAUAUUAAAACACGGACCAAGUAGUCUGAUAUAUGUGUGAAUCAAUGGGUGAGUAAACCCAUAAGGCAUAAAAAAGCUGAUCGGUGGGAUCCCUCUGAGGGGUACACCACUGAACGACCUUGAUCAUCUGAGAAUGGUUCGAGUGUGAGCAUACUUGUGGGGACUCGAAAGAUGGUGAACAAUGCCUGAGUGGGGUAAAGCCAGAGAAAACUCUGGCAGAGGCCCGCAACGAUACUGGCAUACAAAUUGUUCGUCUUACUUGGGUAUUGGGGUGAAAUACCAAUCGAACUGUCUAGUAGCUGUUUCCCUAUGAAGUUUUCCACAGGAUAGCUGGAGCUCGCACGCGAGUUCUAUCGAGUAAAGAAAAUGAUUAGAGGCCUCGGGGGCGCAACUCUCUUGACCUAUUCUAAAACUUUAAAUUGGUAAGAUAGCAUGACUGCUUUGUUGAGCCGUGCCAUGAAAUCGAGAGCUCCAAGUAAGCCAUUUUUGGUAAGAAGAACAUGCAAUGCGGGAUGAACUGAAAGUCGAGUUAUGGUACCAAACUGUGCGUUAACCUAGAUCUCAGAAAGGGUGUUGGUCAAUUAAGAUAGCCGAACGAUGGUCAUGGAAGUCAAAAUCUGCUAAGGUGUGUGUAAUAACUCAACUUCCAAAUCAACUAUCCCCAAAAAUGGAUGGCACUUAAGCGCGCGACCUACACCCGAUCGUUGAGGCAAGUGUCAGGCCCUGAUGAGUAGGAGGGUGUGACAGUCACUGAAAGAUCUUGGGUGUAAUCCCAGGCAAAGCAGUCUUCGGUGCAGAUAUUAGUGGUAGUAGAAAAUAUUCAAAUAAGAACUGUGAAGGUCGAAGAGGGGAAAGGUUCCAUGUGAACGACACUUGACAUGGGUUACUCGAUCCUAUAAUGUAACACCUUGAUUUUCUGAACCAAAAUGCUACGCGGUGCUCAUGACCCCGAAGGAACACAAGCUAACCCAUAACUGUUAUCUGUAACUGUAUACUGUAUAAUAUAUAUAAAAUAUGGAAACAUGAACAUGAAAGGCCAUAACGUUCGAACUGAAUAAACGCCUGAUAACAAAAUGUCU